GACGAACGCUGGCGGCGUGCCUAAUACAUGCAAGUAGAACGCUGAAGGAGGAGCUUGCUCUUCUGGAUGAGUUGCGAACGGGUGAGUAACGCGUAGGUAGCCUGCCUGGUAGCGGGGGAUAACUAUUGGAAACGAUAGCUAAUACCGCAUAACAGUAGAUGUUGCAUGACAUUUACUUAAAAGGUGCAAUUGCAUCACUACCAGAUGGACCUGCGUUGUAUUAGCUAGUUGGUGGGGUAACGGCUCACCAAGGCGACGAUACAUAGCCGACCUGAGAGGGGGGUCGGCCACACUGGGACUGAGACACGGCCCAGACUCCUACGGGAGGCAGCAGUAGGGAAUCUUCGGCAAUGGACGGAAGUCUGACCGAGCAACGCCGCGUGAGUGAAGAAGGUUUUCGGAUCGUAAAGCUCUGUUGUAAGAGAAGAACGAGUGUGAGAGUGGAAAGUUCACACUGUGACGGUAUCUUACCAGAAAGGGACGGCUAACUACGUG
rnacentral:rRNA from 1 species